CAGUCGCCACGGUAAUACAGAGGGUGCGAGCGUUAAUCGGAUUUACUGGGCGUAAAGCGUGCGUAGGCGGCUUCUUAAGUCGGAUGUGAAAUCCCUGAGCUUAACUUAGGAAUUGCAUUCGAUACUGGUUAGCUAGAGUGUGGGAGAGGAUGGUAGAAUUCCAGGUGUAGCGGUGAAAUGCGUAGAGAUCUGGAGGAAUACCGAUGGCGAAGGCAGCCAUCUGGCCUAACACUGACGCUGAGGUACGAAAGCAUGGGGAGCAAACAGGAUUAGAGACCCCCGUAGUCCCUGUUUCUUAUAC
rnacentral:rRNA from 1 species